rnacentral:rRNA from 1 species
UACGUAGGGUCCGAGCGUGUCCGGAAUUAUUGGGCGUAAAGGGCUCGUAGGCGGUUUGUCACGUCGGGAGUGAAAACUCAGGGCUCAACCCUGAGCGUGCUUCCGAUACGGGCAGACUAGAGGUAUGCAGGGGAGAACGGAAUUCCUGGUGUAGCGGUGGAAUGCGCAGAUAUCAGGAGGAACACCGGUGGCGAAGGCGGGAUCCUGGGCCAGUACUGACGCUGAGGAGCGAAAGCGUGGGGAGCAAACAGG